GUGAUCUAUCCAUGAGCAGGUUGAAGCUGGUGUAAGAGCCAGUGGAGGACCGAACCCGCAGGCGUUGAAAAGUCUUGGGAUGACUUGUGGAUAGGGGUGAAAGGCCAAUCAAACUUCGUGAUAGCUGGUUCUCUCCGAAAUAUAUUUAGGUAUAGCCUUGUGUUGUAGCAUAUGGGGGUAGAGCACUGAAUGGGCUAGGGCUGCUUACCGCGGUACCAAACCCUAUCAAACUAUGAAUACUAUAUGUGGAAUCACAGGAGUCAGGCGGUGGGUGAUAAAAUCAAUCGUCGAGAGGGGAACAACCCAGACUAACAGCUAAGGUCCCUAAGUUACAUCUAAGUGGAAAACGAUGUGGAGUUACUGUGACAACCAGGAGGUUGGCUUAGAAGCAGCCAUCCUUUAAAGAAAGCGUAACAGCUCACUGGUCUAGUGAUUCUGCGCGGAAAAUAGUAACGGGCUAAGAUGUACACCGAAGCUUAG
rnacentral:rRNA from 1 species